ACUCUGCACAUUCCUUCCCCUUCAGAUCUGAAUAUUGGUCUGAGUGGCUGCAAAGGAGGCAAAGAGAAACUGAAGUGGACUUGCAGUCUUUCAGGACAUACAAGUUCAUUUCAAACAUAA
rnacentral:snoRNA from 1 species